AGCGCAGCUCCAGCCUCUACGCCCGCGAGGCUCUGAUCGAGAUCGACUACAGCGACCUGCCCGAGGAGCUGAAGGACGCGCAGGCGGAGGAGGAGAUCCGGCAGGAGAUGGCGGCGCUGCAGCAGCGGCUGACGGAGCAGCAGAGCGUCCUGCAGCGCAUCGCCGCGCCCAACAUGAAGGCCAUGGAGAAGCUGGAGAGCGUCCGCGACAAGUUCCAGGAGACCUCGGACGAGUUCGAGGCCGCCCGCAAGCGCGCCAAGAAGGCCAAGCAGGCGUUUGAGCAGAU